rnacentral:rRNA from 1 species
CGAACGGGUGAGUAACGCGUGGGUAACCUGCCUUGUACUGGGGGACAACAGUUAGAAAUGACUGCUAAUACCGCAUAAGCGCACAGUAUCGCAUGAUACAGUGUGAAAAACUCCGGUGGUACAAGAUGGACCCGCGUCUGAUUAGCUAGUUGGUAAGGUAACGGCUUACCAAGGCGACGAUCAGUAGCCGACCUGAGAGGGUGACCGGCCACAUUGGGACUGAGACACGGUCCAA